rnacentral:rRNA from 1 species
CUACGGGAGGCAGCAGUGGGGAAUAUUGCACAAUGGGCGCAAGCCUGAUGCAGCCAUGCCGCGUGUAUGAAGAAGGCCUUCGGGUUGUAAAGUACUUUCAGCGGGGAGGAAGGCGGUGAGGUUAAUAACCUUACCGAUUGACGUUACCCGCAGAAGAAGCACCGGCUAACUCCGUGCCAGCAGCCGCGGUAAUACGGAGGAUGCAGGCGUUAAUCGGAAUUACUGGGCGUAAAGCGCACGCAGGCGGUCUGUUAAGUCAGAUGUGAAAUCCCCGGGCUUAACCUGGGAACUGCAUUUGAAACUGGCAGGCUUGAGUCUUGUAGAGGGGGGUAGAAUUCCAGGUGUAGCGGUGAAAUGCGUAGAGAUCUGGAGGAAUACCAGUGGCGAAGGCGACUUUCUGGACUGUAACUGACGCUGAGGCGNGAAAGCGUGGGGAGCAAACAGGAUUAGAUACCCUGGUAGUCCACGCCGUAAACGAUGAGUGCCAGGUGUAGAGGGUAUCGACCCCUUCUGUGCCGCAGUUAACACAAUAAGCACUCCGCCUGGGGAGUACGGUCGCAAGACUGAAACUCAAAGGAAUUGACGGGGGCCCGCACAAGCAGCGGAGCAUGUGGUUUAAUUCGACGCAACGCGAAGAACCUUACCAGGACCUGACAUCCCUCGCUAUAGGCAGAAAUGUUUAGUUCCCUUCGGGGACGAGGAGACAGGUGGUGCACGGUUGCCGUCAGCUCGUGUCGUGAGAUGUUGGGUUAAGUCCCGCAACGAGCGCAACCCUUAUCCCUAGUUGCCAGCGUGAAAGACGGGCACUCUAGGGAGACUGCCGGUGACAAACCGGAGGAAGGUGGGGAUGACGUCAAAUCAUCAUGCCCCUUAUGUCCUGGGCUACACACGUGCUACAAUGGGCUGUACAGAGGGAAGCAAUCCCGCGAGGGGGAGCAAAUCCCAUAAAACAGCUCUCAGUUCAGAUCGUAGGCUGCAACUCGCCUACGUGAAGAUGGAGUUGCUAGUAAUCGCGGAUCAGCAUGCCGCGGUGAAUGCGUUCCCGGGCCUUGCACACACCGCCCGUC